GGGGAACCUGCCCUUCUCUCUGGGAUAACGUCGAGAAAUCGGCGCUAAUACCGGAUACUCCUUGCGGACCGCAUGGUCCGCUCGGGAAAGCUCCGGCGGAGAGGGAUGGCCCCGCGGCCCAUUAGCUAGUUGGUGAGGUAACGGCCCACCAAGGCGACGAUGGGUAGCCGAGCUGAGAGGCUGAUCGGCCACACUGGGACUGAGACACGGCCCAGACUCCUACGGGAGGCAGCAGUGGGGAAUCUUGCGCAAUGGGCGAAAGCCUGACGCAGCAACGCCGCGUGCGGGAUGAAGGCCCUCGGGUCGUAAACCGCUUUCAGCAGGGAUGAAAAUGACAGUACCUGCAGAAGAAGCCCCGGCUAAAUACGUGCCAGCAGCCGCGGUAAUACGUAUGGGGCAAGCGUUAUCCGGAUUUAUUGGGCGUAAAGCGCGCGUAGGCGGCUUGUUAAGUCAGGUGUGAAAUCCGGGGGCUCAACCCGCGGCUUGCAUCUGAAACUGGCAGGCUUGAGUCUGGUAGAGGAAAGUGGAAUUCCUGGUGUAGCGGUGAAAUGCGCAGAUAUCAGGAGGAACACCAGUGGCGAAGGCGGCUUUCUGGGCCACGACUGACGCUGAGGCGCGAAAGCUAGGGGAGCGAACA
rnacentral:rRNA from 1 species